CAUGACCAAACGUCAAUAUGUGACAAGGUCAGCGUGAGAAUGUGUUAAAAAAUCUAUAUUAGUCUAAGCGGACACUUUGUUGAGAAUCACCGCUUUACCUUGCUGUCAAACAGCCCUUUCCUUUGGCACUAUAUUUUCUCAACUGUAUAACGCCUGUAUUCGCAUGCAAACUGCAACUGUGUUACACCGCAGGUCAGCCAUUCAGGGAGACCUAUCAGCAGAAAUGAGAGAGGGGAAACUUCUGUGGAAAUGGAGGCCCAGACAGAACAGAAGCUUACUGUGAACUGUAAAUGCAUGCUGACAGACCCAGAGAGCUACUGCUGCCUGGACUUGGUUACAACACAACUUCAGGAUCUUUCUGAAUCAGAAGAUUCCAGAGAAUCACAUUUUACUGGUUGUUUGGUAUCCUGUCAACAGUUUUACAGACAUCUCUUCUAUAGCCUAAUGGUGGCCGGUGGAAGAAAAUACUUUUGGGGCCGCAGGGGAUUUUUUUUGGUGUAAUACCGUGACUGACCACUGGAAAAAAUUGGCAGUAAGGCUGAGCAGCAUUCCUGGGGGCCUGGAAGUCAGCUAACGUUUGUCACCGCAAGUUGGUCAUAUUGCUCAGCCCUCACGUGCUGAAGAUACAAACUCAACUCGCUAUGGUAACUGUCAGCCAAACAACAGUCAACAGUGCAGCGAACCUAAUGUAUCCAUCGCCUGCCAGACCAUACUACAUGCGAGCUCGCUCGUAUCUGCACUGCAUCAACCCCUGCUCAGGCUCUUUUUCUUCACCCCUGGGAAUAAGUUCUCUCUGCUCUCUCCUGUUGUUGUCUUUUGAAAGAAAGCUGCAGUCCUGUGCUGCUAAAUCAGCAGAUCUGCAGUACACUUGAUUCCCCGCUUCAUGCUCAGCAUCCCAAAGUAAAUGUUCCAAGAAACUUUCUACUACUGAGGCCCUCGAUUAUCAGUCAUGGCAUUCAAUUUUGGAGCACGUACAGUUUGUUUCAACGAUGAAUGAUAUCUUUCCAGCAAGCAAAAGAAAUAUUUAACAAUAAUAUUCCUAAGAAGAGCUGCGCUCAUACCUCAGAUAUUUUCUCCUGCUUGGUCUGUUGGCUAGAUGGAAAGUACUGUAUCUGUGUUUGGGCUCGUUUUGUGCUGUACGACAGUUACAGUACGUGAAGACAAGAGGAACUUUAUCCUGCUGCACAUGGGGAAACAUCUUAUUAAAGUUUCCCCUCUCAUCCGCCUGACACAGCUCAAGCCCGGCUAUGAGGGGCUCCUUCUCCGACACCUCGAUGUGAGAGACAGUGUGCACAUUAUGCAGCACUGUUGUGGAGGUUGGGUGGAAAAUUUUGCUGGGUCUGAGCUGUGCUUUCUUUGGCACCGGUGGCCUCUGGGCCAAAGCUUUUUCAUCUGUGAACUGACAGCUUCACCUUAGUUCAGGAAACUGAGGAGUCAGAUCCCCUGGAUCACCGAUCUGCUGGAGGAACAUUCAUAAUGUUUUUGAAUAAUUUACCUUGUAAUGUAAGCAAAUGUUUUAAGGAAAUAGCCUUUGUGUGCCUUUUUGUCUUGAUAGUUUGUACUUAAUGUGAAUUUGCCUCACAAGGUGUCCUUGUAAGCAUAAACCUGAACAUGCUAACAUGCUUAGAGGAACAGUGGGUAGGAUUUAGUGGCAUUUAGCAGUGAGGAUUGUAGCUCGAACUCCCAGUUAGGAUUCCUUCAGUGUUCGUUGUUCAGGAGGCUUUCAAUGGGAGCCAAAAUAUCCGAAU